GAAGUGGCGACUGCUGCGGGGCUGAGCGGUGCUCGCACGCGUCUCGGGAGCCAGGUUGGCGGCGCGAUGAGGCGCAGCAAGGCCGAUGUGGAGCGGUACGUCGCCUCGGUGCUGGGUCUCACCCCGUCGCCUCGACAGAUACAUAUGUACUUACAUUAAUGUGCAAGAGAGGGAUCCCAAAGCUCACAGAUUUCUGGGUCUUCUUUAUGAAUUGGAAGAAAACACAGAGAAAGCCGUUGAAUGUUACAGGCGUUCAGUGGAAUUAAACCCAACACAAAAAGAUCUUGUGUUGAAGAUUGCAGAAUUGCUUUGUAAAAAUGAUGUUACUGAUGGAAGAGCAAAAUACUGGGUCGAAAGAGCAGCAAAACUUUUCCCAGGAAGUCCUGCAAUUUAUAAACUAAAGGAACAGCUUCUAGAUUGUGAAGGUGAAGAUGGAUGGAAUAAACUUUUUGACUUGAUUCAGUCAGAACUUUAUGUAAGACCUGAUGACGUCCAUGUGAACAUCCGGCUAGUGGAGUUGUAUCGCUCAACUAAAAGAUUG
rnacentral:lncRNA from 1 species